UGCAUAUCAAUAAGCGGAGGAAAAGAAACCAACAGGGAUUGCCCUAGUAACGGCGAGUGAAGCGGCAACAGCUCAAAUUUGAAAUCUGGCUCUUUCAGAGUCCGAGUUGUAAUUUGCAGAGGGCGCUUUGGCUUUGGCAGCGGUCCAAGUUCCUUGGAACAGGACGUCACAGAGGGUGAGAAUCCCGUACGUGGUCGCUAGCUAUUGCCGUGUAAAGCCCCUUCGACGAGUCGAGUUGUUUGGGAAUGCAGCUCUAAAUGGGAGGUAAAUUUCUUCUAAAGCUAAAUAUUGGCCAGAGACCGAUAGCGCACAAGUAGAGUGAUCGAAAGAUGAAAAGCACUUUGGAAAGAGAGUCAAACAGCACGUGAAAUUGUUGAAAGGGAAGCGCUUGCAGCCAGACUUGCUUGCAGUUGCUCAUCCGGGCUUUUGCCCGGUGCACUCUUCUGUAGGCAGGCCAGCAUCAGUUUGGGCGGUGGGAUAAAGGUCUCUGUCACGUACCUCUCUUCGGGGAGGCCUUAUAGGGGAGACGACAUACCACCAGCCUAGACUGAGGUCCGCGCAUCUGCUAGGAUGCUGGCGUAAUGGCUGUAAGCGGCCCGUCUUGAACACGGACCA
rnacentral:rRNA from 1 species